CAUUGUUUGCGCUGAUCACACACAUUCUUAUUUCUAAUGACAGAGGUUAGUAGCAACCCCAGCAAGUCAAACUAGUGGCUCAGCCUUCAAUAAGCCUGAGCAACACAAAGAAUCCAUCCAUUCCAGACCUACCUUAAUCCACUAUCAAGAUACACAUUCGAGAGCAUCCUGUCGGGCUGUAUCACCGCCUGGUACGGCAACUGCUCCGCCCACAACCGCGAGGCUCUCCAGAGGGUGGUGCAGUCUGCACAACGCAUCACUGGGAGCAAACUACCUGCCCUCCAGGACACCUACAGCACCCGAUGUCACAGGAAGGCCAAAAAGAUCAAAGACAACAACCACCCAAGCCACUGCCUGUUCACCCCGCUAUCAUCCAGAAGGCGAGGUCAGUACAGGUGCAUCAAAGCAGGGACAGAGAGAGUGAAAAACAGCUUCUAUCUCAAGGCCAUCAGAAUGUUAAACAGCCAUCACUAACAUUGAGUGGCUGCUGCCAACAUACAGACUCAAAUCUCUGGCCACUUUAAUAAAUGUAAUACAUUUAUUUAAUAAAGAAAUCACUAGUCACUUUAAAUAACAGCACUUUGAUCAUGUCUACAUAUCCUACAUUACUCAUCUCAUAUGUAUAUACUGUAUUCUAUACCAUCUACUGCAUCUUGCCUAUGCCACACGGCCAUUGCUCAUCCAUAUGUGCAUAUUCUUAUUCAUCCCUGUACAUUUGUGUGUAUAAGGUAGUCAUUAUGAAUUUGUUCGAUUACCUGUUAGAUAUUGCUGCACUGUCGGGAACUAGAAUCACAAGCAUUUCGCUGCACUUGCAUUAACAUCUGCUAACCAUGUGUAUUUGACCAAUAAAAUGUGAUGAUUUGAUCCUAACCACAAAAACAAAUGUGGCUAAAAUGAAAUCCACAAUAGCCUAACCCUGAGAAGUGGGAUUUCCCCCUAGGGUGGUUGGAUUUAGGAGAGGUGGCAAUCUGCAGGCUUCCUCCACUUAAAGCAGACCAUCCAUGUUUUCUUCUGUCCAUUAUAUUGCACACAGCUGUGACAUGGGAUAUGUCAUUCAUAAUAAAGGUUAUUUAACACAGUUUGCAUUAAUAGUGAUUGACAAUCCACCACACUUUGAGGAAACAUGCAAAAAUGUCAAAUAAAUACAA